CCCUUAGAUGUUCUGGGCCGCACGCGUGCUACACUGAGUGGAUCAGCGGGUCAGGUUGCGCGAAAGCGUUUCCUAAUCUUUAAAUCCGCUCGUGAUGAGGAUUGACGGUUGCAAUUUUCUGUCAUGAACGAGGAAUACCUUGUAAGCGCGGGUCAUCAUCCCGCGCUGAAUACGUCCCUGCCCUUUGUACACACCGCCCGUCGCUCCUACCGAUUGAGUGGUCCGGUGAGGCUUUGGGACCUGAGCGGAAAGAGCGUUUCGCUGUUUCUGCUCGGAAAACUCAGUCGAACCUUAUCAUUUAGAGGAAGGAGAAGUCGUAACA
rnacentral:rRNA from 1 species